AGCACCCCCUGGUUUCUGGCCUGAGCCACUGCAGGCACAAGUAUACCUGUGUCUCCUGUGUACCCAGAGUGAAUUCUGCCGUCCUGUAGAGGCGCACGGCUCUUCACUGACUUAGAUGCCUGUGGAGAUGGAGCCUCACAGUUACAUAGGAGCAGGUCUAUCCUGCAUGAAGAAGUACUGUAAUGAGGACUGCUUUUCAAGGCUUUCCAACCUGGACCCCAAGGGGAAAGUUUCAAGUUGGAGCAUCAUGUGAAGAAACCUGCUGUCUGCCCAGUAAUGAUUAUGUGCUUUCCCCAAUGACUAUAAUGCUCAGUGCACCAACAACCACGAAUGUAUGACUUCCCCCCAACUAAGCCAGCAUCCACCAUCCUGAGCCACAGAGUCAGUGUCCCUCUUUUGCCUGGUUUCCUUCUGCCCCAGGAAACUUUCCGUCUUGGCUGUCCAGCGGCCUGGCCACAGCAGGCAAUUGUUCUCAGGCUUCCCUGGCCUGCAGUCUUGUGAACAGUUUGUGGUCCCGCAACAUGGGUGUUCAAGGUACAAAAUUCCUCAGGGGGAGGUAAGUCUAAAACCUAGGUCCCCGAAAUCUCCUCUAUCCUGGGUAGGUGCUACAAAUAUCAGCUUGCUGGAAAAAAUACAGGAGAAAGACGA